rnacentral:lncRNA from 1 species
CAUGGGCCCUGUGGCUGUCCCGGUCUGGCAGUACCCCAAACCUGGCUGUCGCAGGUCCCUGUGCUCGGGAGCGCGGCCUUCACUCUUCUCCUAGAGUUGCCUUCCUCCCUAAAACUGGAGAGGCAGGGUGUCCCCGAAUCCCUGGGGUGAGCUCUAGGGGUCCCCCGGAAGCCUCACUCCUUGUGUUCCCGUCCCGUGGCCCCUGUGACAAAUGACGGCAGACAUGGAGGCCCAAACCACACAGACUUGCUCCCCAGUCUGGAGCCCUGCUGAGCUGAAGCCUGCUACUUUCUAGAGGCAGAGGAGGAGGAGGAGGAUCCACUGCUCUGCCCCUCCCAGCUCCUGCAGUGCCUUCCCCGACUUCAGAACCCACUGUGCGAUCCCUUCUGUCUCUGUCUCUCUGCUCCCCUGUGGCUGGCUCACUGCCCCCUUCCAUGAGGAGACGCCCCUGGUGGGGUGCAGCCCGGAGGGGCCAGAUUCUGUCCCCAGCCCCACCAGGGAGAAGCUGCCUGCAGGGUCCUUAAUGAGUCAAGAGGCCCUGUGCCCUGCAGGAGACACAGCCCUGGGUGCUGAGGAUUAGGGCGCAGGGGUUUCGGGGGCCAGGGCCCGGCCUGACACCCUCUCCUGUGCUCCUCGCCACAGACCUUCUGGGAGACUCAUCCUGCUGAGGCCCAGGAACCCCAAGCCACUCCCCUGAAUGUCUCGGCGAUGGCGGCGUGGUCGGUUGGUCGGCCUUUCACAUUUCCCUGUGCUGCAUUUCUGAAACCUGUGUUUUGACGGUUCCCACUAAUGAGCUGGUUCAGCAGAUUCUUUCCCCCUAAAUUGCAAAGACAACGUGACAGUUCAAAAAAACAGAACAAAGAACAUGACAUGUGGAGACGCAGAAAUGUCGAGGUGAGCCAGGCCAUUGUGCUUCUGGUGGCACUGACAUCCAGGGUCACUCCUGAUGGCUGCACAGUUUCUGCUGUAACAUUCUCCUGGUGAUUCCUGUCCUCAUGCAUAGAAAGGUAUCUCUUAGCAAGGUCACACACACACACACACACACACACACACACACCCCUGCACACCAGCGUCUCACUGAGAAGGGCAAGAACCAGUGGCCGGCAGGUGGGCAGCAAUUAAAGCUCCAAAGGAACCAGAGGGCCCAGCAAGGAGCGCAGUGGGCCCUGUCCUCAUUCCGUCACUGGGGGACUCUGACACCAGAGCCAUGGACUCGGCUAAGCCAGAGCCUCUGCGGUUGCACGCAGAAGGAACCCUGAAAAUGCAAGGUGGCUCGGACGGCUCUGUCUACACCGCACACUGCAGAACUACGCAGUUGAAAGCAGCCCUCGCUGUUCUCCAGGAAGAACGGCUGGCAUCGAGGCUCUUUGUGGCCUGCGGCCUGUGCCAGGCAGGGUGCCGAGCCCUUCGCUAGGGGGUGGGCUCCUCGUAACAGUGCCGCCCGGUGCGCUCCAGGCCCUAGUUCCGUCCCCUGUGCCACGAACAAAAUGAAACCCCGAAACACUCGUGAAUCCUCUUCACCCAGUGAGGCGGGCACUACUGAUCCCACUGGGCAGAUGAGGAAACUGAGGCCAUGAGCUGUGGACCCCCUCACUCCAGGCUGUGAGCAGUGAACUACCAGGCUCCAGAUUCUGCCUAGAGAAGGGAGGAAGAUGAGAUGGAGGCACCAGCUCCGCAGUGAGCCUUCUUCUCAUUGGCCCUCAGCUCUGCCCCGUGCGGCUGCGUGUCGUGGGUGAACGCAACACUGCUGAUGCCACUGGAACCUCUCUGGAGACCCAAGCUCAGGUCAUGACCCCAGCGCUCACUCCGGGAGCGGAAUAUCUGAGUCCGACCCCAGUGUUUCCAGCACCCAGGAGAGGGCGGAAGUCACUUCCGUGGAUGCACAGCCCAAGGAGAGGCUGCAGGCCGAGUGGGGGGUGGAGAGCAGCACAGAGGCCAGGAGGGGCUCCGAAGGCUGGAGAGGAAGUGAGGACCCAGUCCAGACAGUGCAGAUCCCACGAAGUCGCCACGGACCAAGAGAAGACGGAAUCACAGGGCCGCGUGGUCAGGGGCCGGGGAAGUAGGGAGGGUGAGGAGGCCUCGGUGGGCUCAGGCAGCCAGGUGGCUGGAGGCGGCCGUGCCCCGAGGUGGGGACAGCGUCCAGGGCUGCAGGGGAGGUGGAGGCCCGGAGCGUGGAGCGGCAGCACAGACCUGGGCUGGCCGCGGGGUCGGGAGCAAGGCGGAGGAGGGUGACACUGAGAAGGGGCCCGGAGGCCAGGCGGGAGAGAGGCACAGCAGCGGCCGGCGAGGGUUUGCAGACAGGGGGCUGGGACAGUCCCUGAGGACACUGACUCUGGAGGUGACAGAAGAGGCCGCCGGGUGUCAGGGGCCUGGAGAAGGCUGCUGUGCCUCUGGAAGGGGAGGACGCCGGCUUCCUGGACGUGCGGUCUCUGGGACCGUGUGCUGGGGUCACCUCGGGGCUGGAAGGCAGAGAAGGCCUUCAGUGGGUGGGGUCGGGGGUUUGCAGCGAAGCCGUCCUUGGGCUGCCACAGGUGCCGCAGUCACGGGGAGGGGAGGAGAGGGGCAUGGGACAAGGCCAGGCCAGCUCGGGGCCUUGAGGUCCCUGGGGAGGGUGACGGGCGGGGGCGGGAGAGCUCGUCCAGGGCACAGUGCAGUCCGUGCCGGGCCUUGGGGUCUGCACUUUUGGUUGCAGUUUCUUUGCAGUCACUUGGGCUCCCUGCCCCCCAGCAUCUCCCACAGGCCAGGGGUCAGUGGGGAAUCAGUGGCCAAGCCGCCCCUCAGGAGUUUGGGGUUGUUUCAAGCACUCUGGUGCACGCCUGUAGUCCCGGCACUCGGGAGGCUGAGGCAGGAGGAUCACUGCAAGUUGGAGGCCAGUCUGGGCUGCACAGUGAGUUCAAGGCCAGCCUGGACUGCAGCGUGAGACCCAGUCUUAAAAAAAAAGAGGGGAGCACUUGGAGACUGGCAAAAGGUGCAAAGGGGAUGAUUUGAGUGCUGAACAGGAGCAGGGAGUAGUGGGAGGACACAGGAGGCUCUUGGACGAACGUGGGCAAGGUCGUCACCAAGGGCUGCCGAUACCUCGUCCUUGGCCUGCAGAGCUUUGCCGCUGCCUACUCCUCCCCGUUCGCAGUGGGCACCAGCGUGGUGUCCCUUGUGCGCUAGAGGACCCUGCGCCUUUCGGACUUGGACUCGCAGAGCACGAGCACUGAGCACCGGAUGAGAAGCUGCCUUCCUUGUUGGGUCGGAUGGGUCAAGCGCCAGCCAGCCUGCCGCCUCCAGCGGGCUGCCAGACACUGGCCUGAGGGGCCCACCUGGGGCCAGGGGAGUUGGUCCCUGGGACACUCAUCCUUCGGGGAAGGCGGCAGGGUGGGCUGGAGACUGAUUUGGGCAGGGUGGGCUGGAGACUGAUUUGAGCAGCGUGGGCAGCCGAUGGCCGCUCCAGAGCAGGAAUCUCCUGCACAGGGCGCGGGCUCCCGGGCCGCCCAGGGCCCUGGCUUCCUGACUUCUGAGGCUGAGCAAAGCAGCUGUUUAUUUCUCAAGUCAUUCUCUCCCACCCUGUCACUCCACCACUCUGUCAAGGGAGUUUCAUCACAGGCUCAGGAAGAGGGAGGGAGGGAGGGAAGGAAGGAAGGAAAGGACAGCCUCCCUUUGAAGGCGCUGAGGAUUGCCUCCUGCAUUCUCAGCUGGGCCACAGAAGGGGGAGGAAGCCUCUCCUCGGUGCCUGGACCCUGGGAGAGUGGGGGGCACAGGAAGCUGGGACGGGUGAGGAUUCAGAAGAGGAGCCAGAAAGUAGCAGACGGUUGGAGGAUGUGGAAGAGGGCAGGAAGGGUGUCAGAGGAGCAGCAGGGGCAGGUGGGGAAGUCCAGUGUCGGGGGGCCCAGGCAGCUGGGGCUGUAGUUCUGGGGGACCGGGGGGGCUGCCAGGGCCCAUGGCGGGGCUCGGCCCUCUGUGGCCCGCAGGCUCACACUCGGGUGUGGAGCGCCCUGUCCUGCCCUGUGCAACCAGCUGACGCGGACUCCCUGGAUCCCGAGGUUGGGGUGCUUGAGGUCCUGGCCCUGUCAGCGCAGCCUGCACUCUGAGUUGCUUGAGGGAGGUGGAGGGUGGAGAAGAUCCCUCUGCCCUCUGCUGACCCCUGCGACAGGCUGAGUUCCAGCUGUGCCCAGAAUAUCCAGAGGCCUGGAUGCUCCUGCCUCAGCCACCCAGCCCAGCCAGGGCCCGCCCGGGGGGGCAGGGAAGCCGUAGAGGGACGGAUGGAUGGAUGGGCUGGUGGAGAAAACGGUGACUGGAGGUGAGGUAGGGUAGAAGGAAUGAAGCCAGGGAAACGAGGCAAAGACCAGAAUUUUAAAAUUGUGUUUUUCAGAAAAACUUCAGCUUUAGGACACAAAAGUUGCUCAAGCCUUUUUUCCUUUCAGGAAACUCAAUUUUUUUUUUUUUUGGUACCGGGGAUUGAACUUGGGAACCACUGAGCUCAAUCCCCGGCCCAAGGAAACUCAAAUUAUUUAUCCCCAAGGGCCGUAAAGAUACAAUGAGCCUGUAAAUUGGGCUUCCAGGGGCCUGUAUUUUUUACUUUUUUUUUUUAGGACAGGGUCUCACCAUGGAGUUCAGGCCAGCCUUGGACUCAUUAAGCAACCCAGGCUGGCCCCGAAUUCAUGGAAAUCCUCCUGCCUCAGUGUCCAAGUGCUCGGAUUACAGCUGUGUGCCGCUGUGCCUGGAUUUUACUUGUUUACUAUACUUUCUCCCACAAACUUCUACCUUCAGGGAGGCAGCAGUGUUAGUGGGCGGUAGAUCCCAACUUCGGGCUUGUGGAAAUCGUGUUCUGAUGAGCAACGUGACAGACAGUAGCAACACACAUCCCAGGCACCCCUCUCGGCCCGCAGGCCCCAUAACUGCGCCCAGCUCCGACCAUAGGCACCCCCCCCCCUCCAGGACUCGCAGGCUGUGUGUGUCUUUCAAUGUACGCUUUUAAAAUGUUUGUCUAAUAAAUUCCUUCGUGCCUCUUCUAACAUGUCCUGAAAAUUCCUUUUCCAAGCUGGAGUCAGUAGGGGUACAGCUUAGUCCUCGGGUAAGGCUUGGGGGUCUCCCGGGACCCCAUGCUGCAUCACAGACACGGAUCCUGCGUUGGCCAGUGCUGCAGGUCAUGUGCACACAUGGGAGAUCACCGAGGGCAGAGUGUGGAGCAGAGAAGGACCUCAGGGCCCAGGGCCUGCUGGCCCCCUGAGGGAAGCAGGACCCCUGCACCAGGUCCCCCGGUGAGUAGGGUGUCGCCUGGGGAGGGGGCCAGGGACUUCCCUGCCCCCCAAGUUGGAAAAUCCGCAAAAUCAAGCACAUCUGGCCCUGAACUUCUGAAGGUCUGGUUAAGAAUUAACUCAGAAAUGUCACAAGUCAGAGGCUCGCGGGGCUUGUCCUGAGGAUCGGGCUCACAGAGAGGACUUCACCCAGCUCCCAGUGCCCAAGGGUCACCCCCACGGCAGGGCCGAGUGCUCCCUGCGCCUACCCCAUCAAGUAGCAGGUCGCCUUUUUACUUUGCUCUCUGAUCGUCAGUACCACGGCCGCUGCCCUCCUGGG